rnacentral:rRNA from 1 species
CAGUCGCCGCGGGAAUACGUAGGUGGCAAGCGUUGUCCGGAUUUAUUGGGCGUAAAGCGAGCGCAGGCGGUUCCUUAAGUCUGAUGUGAAAGCCCACGGCUCAACCGUGGAAGGUCAUUGGAAACUGGGGAACUUGAGUGCAGAAGAGGAGAGUGGAAUUCCAUGUGUAGCGGUGAAAUGCGUAGAUAUAUGGAGGAACACCAGUGGCGAAGGCGACUCUCUGGUCUGUAACUGACGCUGAGGCUCGAAAGCGUGGGGAGCAAACAGGAUUAGAUACCCCUGUAGUCCUGUCUCUUAUACA